rnacentral:rRNA from 1 species
UACGUAGGGUGCGAGCGUUGUCCGGAAUUAUUGGGCGUAAAGAGCUCGUAGGCGGCCUGUCGCGUCGGAUGUGAAAGCCCGGGGCUUAACCCCGGGUCUGCAUUCGAUACGGGCAGGCUGGAGUGUGGUAGGGGAGAUCGGAAUUCCUGGUGUAGCGGUGAAAUGCGCAGAUAUCAGGAGGAACACCGGUGGCGAAGACGGGUCUCUGGGCCGAUACUGACGCUGAGGAGCGAAAGCGUGGGGAGCGAACAGG